rnacentral:rRNA from 1 species
GAUGAACGCUGGCGGCGUGCCUAAUACAUGCAAGUCGAGCGAACGGACGAGAAGCUUGCUUCUCUGAUGUUAGCGGCGGACGGGUGAGUAACACGUGGAUAACCUACCUAUAAGACUGGGAUAACUUCGGGAAACCGGAGCUAAUACCGGAUAAUAUUUUGAACCGCAUGGUUCAAAAGUGAAAGACGGUCUUGCUGUCACUUAUAGAUGGAUCCGCGCUGCAUUAGCUAUUUGGUAAGGUAACGGCUUACCAAGGCAACGAUGCAUAGCCGACCUGAGAGGGUGAUCGGCCACACUGGAACUGAGACACGGUCCAGACUCCUACGGGAGGCAGCAGUAGGGAAUCUUCCGCAAUGGGCGAAAGCCUGACGGAGCAACGCCGCGUGAGUGAUGAAGGUCUUCGGAUCGUAAAACUCUGUUAUUAGGGAAGAACAUAUGUGUAAGUAACUGUGCACAUCUUGACGGUACCCAAUCAGAAAGCCACGGCUAACUACGUG